AUCUCUUAACUUCAACCCUAGAGACGGACUCCCCAUUUACCCAUAACCUAAUCACUUCUCACCUCAUUCAGCCACCUUUAUUUCCCUUUCCUCUCUCUUCUCUCAUCUCCACCAACCAUCAAUCUCUGAAACCUUGCAUAAAUUUGUGCAAGGUCACUUAAAAUCACUUUAAAUCAUCUCUUCUAUCUCUCUAUCCGCGAAUCCAGCCGGUUAUUUCCUACUUUAUCACUCAAAAUUCAAAAACCAAUUUUGACACCCUAAGAUCGAAAGACGACUGACUUGAUUUCUCUCUUGUUCUUUAUUAUCAUAUUGAAGAAUCAUUCGUUUCAUCUCUGGGUUGUGAAGCAAGUGGUUUUCUUUCCAUUUCACCAAUGGUACUUUAAAAUUCCCAAAUUUGAAACCCUAUACCAGACGAUGUGAGGUCAAAUCCUUAGAAACCCCUUAUGUUCUGUUAAAUCAGUGUCAUGCAUGGCUAUUCCAUAGUUUCGUCAUACUUAUUCUUGUUCUAGAGUCGAGCAUGAGUUAUUAUCCGAUGGAGUUUUGCCUUCAACGAUCAACUUUCACCAUCUUAGGUAAAAUCUCUAUUGUUUUCCCUAUGUUUUCUUUUUAAUUUCACUCAAUCUUGCUAUCAUCAUCAAUCUUUCGUUACUUUCCACUCAUGAUUAUGAAUCUAUUGAAACCCUAGGUCCUUAUUGACACUAUAAAAGGGGUCCUUUACUGUUCUCACCUAACAUCAUUUAGACAACCACCUAACACUAAAACUUAUACACCAAAAACACUUAGCAAAAGCAAAAAUCAGUAUAGUAGUUGUUGAAUUUCUUUGGCUAAGCUCUUACUCAAGUUAUGAUUUUUCUCCGAGGUAUUCAUUUGUUUGAAGUCUCUGAGUUCUUGGGUCCUAACUACUAAACAAGUCCUCUUUGGUCUGUUUCCCUAAGAAAGGUCAGUGCACCUCCACCCUCCUCUUUCUAAUUGUUUUUCGUGAAUGCUAUGUACAUGUUGUUGUUCUUCUAUUAACUGUAUUAGCUUGAUAGGGGAGUCUGGAGGUCUAGAAUCAGGGUUGUAGGCUAGGGGGCUCAUAGAGUUCUUCGUACGCCUCUUCCGGGGUUGGGUGUGGGAUAGUAGGGUCACUCANNNNNNNNNNNNNNNNNNNNNNNNNNNNNNNNNNNNNNNNNNNNNNNNNNNNNNNNNNNNNNNNNNNNNNNNNNNNNNNNNNNNNNNNNNNNNNNNNNNNNNNNNNNNNNNNNNNNNNNNNNNNNNNNNNNNNNNNNNNNNNNNNNNNNNNNNNNNNNNNNNNNNNNNNNNNNNNNNNNNNNNNNNNNNNNNNNNNNNNNNNNNNNNNNNNNNNNNNNNNNNNNNNNNNNNNNNNNNNNNNNNNNNNNNNNNNNNNNNNNNNNNNNNNNNNNNNNNNNNNNNNNNNNNNNNNNNNNNNNNNNNNNNNNNNNNNNNNNNNNNNNNNNNNNNNNNNNNNNNNNNNNNNNNNNNNNNNNNNNNNNNNNNNNNNNNNNNNNNNNNNNNNNNNNNNNNNNNNNNNNNNNNNNNNNNNNNNNNNNNNNNNNNNNNNNNNNNNNNNNNNNNNNNNNNNNNNNNNNNNNNNNNNNNNNNNNNNNNNNNNNNNNNNNNNNNNNNNNNNNNNNNNNNNNNNNNNNNNNNNNNNNNNNNNNNNNNNNNNNNNNNNNNNNNNNNNNNNNNNNNNNNNNNNNNNNNNNNNNNNNNNNNNNNNNNNNNNNNNNNNNNNNNNNNNNNNNNNNNNNNNNNNNNNNNNNNNNNNNNNNNNNNNNNNNNNNNNNNNNNNNNNNNNNNNNNNNNNNNNNNNNNNNNNNNNNNNNNNNNNNNNNNNNNNNNNNNNNNNNNNNNNNNNNNNNNNNNNNNNNNNNNNNNNNNNNNNNNNNNNNNNNNNNNNNNNNNNNNNNNNNNAGUGGGAAUAUACUGGGUAGUUGUUGUUGUUGUUGUUGUUGUUGUAAUAAAUUUCAGAUAGGUAACAUGAUUAAGAUCUUAUAAUAUGCUUUAAUGACUUUCAUGCUUAUGUAAACUUUAGAUUUUUCUGUCAAUAGUUCUAUUGCGACCUUUAUUGUGAUCUUUAUCUCUAUACACUACUUUCUUGCGUUCUUAUGGUUGAGAUUAUUGUUUGAUAAUCCUAAUUAGGACAAAACUUAAAAGUUCACAAUUUAAUCUCUCACUACUUGCCUGAAGCCUAAAAAGUCUUAAGUGUUUAAAUGCUCUCCCUCUUUGUCAAAGUCAGUUAAUUCUGGAAAUAGCUUAUGAGUUGUCAUUGUGACAAUCUUGUGUUCAUGUCUAACUGAUGGUUAUACCUAUAUGAAUCACUGUUGUUAGGAUGAGUUUUUAUGAACCCGGCGACCCUUUUGCCUAUAUUCUAUUAUUAUUAAGUUAUCUUUCAUAGGAAAAACAUAAUUAUGACUGUCUUCAAGCUUGACAAAACUGCCACAUGUUUUAUACAACUAACUUUGUGAAGCUUACAUUUAAUGAUAAUCAUUCUUUUUAUAGCCAAAAUAAUAAUUUUUUAAGCCAAGUGUGAUUACUUCAUAUCUAGAUACUAAUUUAAGCUAUACACUUGAGUUAAACUUAUUUGUGUAUAAUACUUCCCUUUUCUAAAACUCCCUCCCUUUAUGACAUGCCAAACUUGAAUAUAUAACAUGUAAAGCUCCCAUGUUUGUAUAAGAUCACCCCGUCACACCUCCUUUUUCACACUACAUCCGCGAACGGUGUAGGUAAGAAUAUUUUUCCAAUUAAAGGACAAUCAAAACGGGAUUUAUUUGUUUAGAGAUUUCAGAGUCGCCACUUGGGAUAAUUAUUAGUAUCCCAAGUCACCGGUUUAAAACCCGAAUCGAGAAAAGUUUGACUUUGUAUACAGUCUGCGAGCCAGAAAUCUGGGUAAGAAAUUCUGUUAACCCGAAAGAAGGUGUUAGGCAUUCCCGAGUUCGUGGUUCUAGCGCGGUUGCUCAACUAUUAUAUUCGGCUUAAUCAUCUGAUUUUAAUGCAUUUUUGUACCUAUGUGCCGAUCUUAACUCUUAACCACUUUUAUUUAUUUAAGAAGAUUUCAACAUUGUUAAAACAUGUCUUGAACCACGUCACAUAGAUGCACCUGGGGUCUUCAACAUAUUUCAACAUCGUUGGAAUUUGGAUUUGGGUCUCAUAAAUGCACACCCGUAUUAAGGGAAGUAAAUUAUUUAACUAGUGCGCCUAAGGCAAUUACGUAUUUUCAAAUUUGCGAGGGGCCACGGAAAAUUCUCUAGGUGGCAUGCCUCGAUUUCUAAUAAUUCAAAGUCAAUUAAACGAUGUCCAUGCAAUUAUUCAAUUUUAUUCUGCAUACCUCGAUUCUAAUUUAGUACCUAUACUCUGAGGGCUAUAAUUGUCAUGUUGCUGAUAUGACUUAACUUAAUUUAAAAAAAAACUUAAUUUGAGACAAACUAAAGUUCAAGUAUUAUUCAACUCCUAAAUGUGAUAUAAUUAUAAGCUUGCGAUUACGGAACCUUACGCGAGGCAAUUGCAACCACUCUAUCAAAUGAUUUCGUUCUAUGCCAUUAAAAUUAACAAAAUCAAGCAGAAUUAAUCAUGGCACAAUAAGGUCUGCGAUCAAACCAGCCAAAAUGGUCGGGUAAGUACAUCAACCAACGAAUUGGGCCAAGGCCUCAACUGGACUCUUACCGGCAGAGUCUAAUUUACUCUUCUUGAAGAAGGCCCAAUAUAGAAUCAGAAACGACACUCACAAGGCAUAAUUAGUGGUAAACCUUAUCAACCAAAAAACCAAUUAACUGGAAAUAAACACAUUAAACACGACAUGUUACAUAAUGAAUUGACAUUGCUCAUGACACUAACCUUUUGACUAAAAUCAAACAGGACUUAAAUAGCAUCCAAAUUUCAAGCACAAUUGUGACCUUCAAGACCAAAGCAUCCUUGGUUCUUAUUAGAAAAACUUUUCAAAUCUAAACCCUUUUGUGCAAAUCACAACAGUAGAUGGGAACAUGUCACCAAAUACCAAUUUCACCCUGACUAUUUGAAUUAAAGCUGCCAAUCUAGUGAUUACAGACCAAAUGAAGCUGUACUUAAUAGCUAGACCAAAGCAGAUGUGAUCUAACCUAUGAUGUUCAAAGCUAGGGUGUGAAUUACAUAUCAUAACUUAAAAGACAGCAGAUGAAACCCUCUACAUAAAAUGAAACAAAUAAAUGACCCAAAUUGUUGAGGAAUAUACUACCCCUUAACUAUCCCAGAAUUACCCCUCUUGUUUUGGGCUUUCACAACCAGCCUGCUUCAGGAUUCGAACAAUUGGCCCAAAUAUUUUAAAACCAACAAAACUUUGAAUUGAACCAAUCCCUUUUAAACCAGAAUUAAAGAACAACUACCUAAUUGAACACAAUUUAUGUAAAAUAAAAUCAUGCAAUUAUAGGUGCAAAACAACAUCUAAACCCUUCAUAUAAUUAAAACGGAAAACAACUGGAUAAUGAGGCUAAACAAAAUCGAUUAUACCUAAUUUCAUGACUAUUUUAAACACAUUCAAAUAUCCAUUAACAAGAUUUGGUCAAACUCGGAUGAACAAAUUACUAAAAGCAAACAAGGGAAAUCAGAAAGAAGAAACAGAAGCAAAGAGGAAGACAAACCAAGCACAUUAAAAAUCAGAAGUUAAUAAAAAUGGAAUGGGACUCAACACUCACCGGAAAUGGGAAUAAAUUUGGGAAUAGGAGGGUACAACAGUAGCUUUGUACCAUUUUGAGACUAUUCGAAGCGACAUGGUUCUGGCCUGGAUCUUUAGAAUCAAUAUUCGAGAAGAUCCAGAGGUGUUUGAAGGAUGUUGAAUGCCAAUUUUGCAUGAGGAAGAGACGAGGCUCAUUUGGUGUUAAUUUGGGACCGAUUGGUGGCGGCACCGCCGUGUCCGACGAAGGUGCUAGUGCUUCUAGCCAAUAUUCGAGAAGUUCGGCUUGGUUUUGAGGGAACGCGGUGAUGGAUUUGGGUAGAGUAUAGGGAGGAGAAUUAGCGGUAUAAAUUUGACGGCCAUCGGAGCUCCGCCGCCGCCGUGGGCGAUUUCCGGCCGGCGGUGGGCGGCGGAGACAGAGUGGCUCUAGGGUUUUAGAUGUGAGAGGUUAGAAACUGGGGGUCUGGGGGCGUUUAGACAUAAAUAUAUUUAGUACAGGCCAGUUAUCAGUCGUUGGAUCUUGAAUCCUCGACGGUUGAGAUUAACUUAAGCAAAACGGCGUCGUUUGGUUAUUGGGGGCUGGACCGGGUCUAGGGAAGGUAUUGGACCGGUUUGGGUGGGUUCUGGGCUGGAAUAUAAUCCAAUUAGCCCAAUUUGAGUCUUCUUCUUUAUUUCCUUAUUUUUCAGAUUUUCAUUUUCAUUUCUCUUUCUCUUUUUUCAAAAUUAAAACUAAAAAUCCUAAAUUAAAUUAUAAAUCCCCAAAUAAACCUAUAAAAAUAUUAAUUAAUCCUACAUAAUCAUUAUUACGAAUAAUUAAAAUAAAAUUAAAAGAAAAAUUACCUUAAAAAUCAAGAAUUAAAAUUAGAAGUGCAUAUUAAGCUAUUUUUUAUUUUUUUUCUUUUUAUAAAAUGACUAAUUGCUAACUAAUUCUUGAAAAAUAUCAAAUCAACUUCUAAAUCCACAUGUAACAUAUUUUGUAUUUUUCACUAAUUAAAAUGCACAAACAAAAUAUAAACAAUUAACAAAAAAUUUCACAAAAAAUUGACAAAAUUGCAAAUAAAUAAAAGAAAUCGUUUGUUUGAAUUUAUGGUAGUAAUUUGUGUAGGGCAAAAAUCGCAUGCUCACAGUUGUCCCUCUUUGCUCGGAAACACGAAGAAUUUUCAUGCAAAGAUAAGUGAGCGGAUACGAGCGAUUUUUUCCCAUUCGAAUAUUCCGCGUGAAGCAUUUUUGAAAAUCUUGACCGCACCUUGCUUUAGAGGUUGCCUACAUAUCCUUGGCUAAAAUGAAUCAGAUCGGUGUAGUUCAGGAGUGUUUGGUAGUUGGGACUACUGAAGAUGUGAUCUCAUUGUUGCUACUGCUGUUGUUACUACUAGCUAGACCCCCUUAUUACACCGAGUCAAAAUAAAAGAAACUAGACUAAUCUAUGACCUAUGGAUUACAAAAAACCUAUCUAUGUCUUCAAACUUUCUCUCGAUCCUCAUUGCCUAGUCGCCUUGCAUAUCUUCCUGUGAAACUUCUUAUUGCCUUGUUGACUUGUAUUCUUCCGGUGAAAUUCCUUGUUGUCUUGUUGCUAUGUUUCUCUUUUUCCAUGUUGAUGUCUGAUUCUUGGACUUGAAUUGUAUUCCCUUAUUCUCCAGGUGGGUGCCUGAUUACCAAAACUUGAAACGAAAUGUAUUCCUUUGUUCUCCAGGUGGGCGCCUGAUUACCAAAACUUGAAAUGUAUUUCCUUGUUCUCUCGGUGGGCGCCUGAUUACCAAAACUAAAAACUUGAAAUGUAUUGACUGAAACUGUUGCCUUUAAACCUGAUUACAACAAAACAAAUAAAACAAAAGAAAUUUUUUCUACCCCAGUUUGGUGUUGGGUGCAUUUGUGAGUGUUAAUCAAAUCGGGUUACCAAAUAUCUUUGAAAGCUAAAUCUCAUUAUCCAUGAUGGUCCUAACAACUCUUAACUAAUGACAACUUUAAGAUUAGGCUAUGUUCUCCAAAGAUUACUUCUACUAUAUCUUGUUAUCUAAGUUAUAUCUGGUGGGGACCAGUAAUUAAAGCUACAUCCCCUUAUCCAGGAGGGUCCUCACAAUUCUUAACUAACAACAACUCUGAAACUAGGAUGUGCCUCUAGAAGUAUUACUUCCCCUAUGUCCUGUUAUUUAAGAGAAUAUUAAAGCUACGUCCCAUUAUCCAGGAGGGUCUUGAAAGCUUUUACAAUUAAAUUACAUUAUCCAGGCGGGUCCUAAAAACUUUUAAAAUUAAAUCCCAUUAUCCAGGAGGGUGUUGAGAAUUUCAAAUUAAAUGCCAAUUUUAACUCUCGAUUGUCUCUGUUGGAGAUUGCCAACUAAAAUUACAUCCCAUUAUCCAGGAGGGUCCUGAUACCUCCUAGACGAAUCUUAUUCCAACUCGUAAACCUUUAAUACUGUUUAUGUUCCUUUUCCAUUCAUGAUUAUCUCCAACCUUUAAAUAGGUCCCAUUUUUUAGGAGGGUCCUGAGAAUUUCAAAUUAAAUGCCAAUUUUACUCUCGGUUGUCUCUACUGGGGGUUGCUAGUUAAAGAUACGUUCCAUUAUUCAGGAGGAUCCUGACGACUCCAAUUGGGGAAUAAUUGUGCCAGAUCAUGUUUCCGGUGACUGUUUGAGUUUUAAACCGAGUCCCAUUUUCCAAGAGAGUCCUGAAGUUCACAAUCAUAACUGCCAGGUGCUUGCUUUCCCCUAUGGAGGACUUCCCCAAAACCUCUAGAAUUUUCUGCCCCUGUUUCAAUCAAAGAAAAUCUUGUCAGUUUGAAAUGUGGUGGUUAGCUUACGACAUUCUUGCUAAAAAUGGCCUUCCCGAUGUCACGCUCUGUUGUGUCAAACUUUCCCGUACUGACUAUGAGUCACCUUGAUUUGUUCGACUAACCCCUGAACCCUAUUGUUUUUAUAUGAACCGAGUGCUCUGUUCCUCCAUCAUUGGCUUACAUUCCUGACCCUCUCGCCAGAAUCUUUACUCCUUCCCAAAAUUACCGAGUCAGUUUGCUAACAAAACUUUCAUUGAUCCUUCUCUUUGCGACUUUAAAUGGCGCUGCCUUUGUUAUGUUUUAGAUGGCAUGUGCUUCGCCAUUUGGGGAGCUAGUAGUAAACUUUGAAAUUUCUCUCCUGCUUGCUUAAACAGAAAUUGAAUCUCAAAACAUCUUAGAGGAAUAAAGACUCGAAAGAAAAUGAAAUCCAAUGAUUCUGAGUUGUUUUGUUUUAGAAUAAAAUAAUUCUGAAUUGGGCGAUUACUGAGGGGAAAGAGGAGAAACUUAUCUGUGGAGGAACAGUUGGUUCCCAUAAUCAUGAUAUGCACUUCGUCUUAGUCGACCAGUUUGUCCAAACAUUCGGCCUUCAUUUGCCAUGCUUUGUUGUUGUGACCUUCCUUAACCCAAUUUCUUUAACCAAACCCUGACCUAGCUUAUCUUGCAGUAUUCUGAACAGAUUUCCACCAACUACCCUUUUUCAGUUGUUCAUUUCUCGACUUGCCUUUGCCUUAUGAUGCCCGUGAGGGUUUUCACUGAUAAGAAUCUCUCAUUUUCAUUUCUCUCAGCUCUCGUCGCCUUACGGUGUCCGUGAGGGUUUUCACCAAUAAGACUCUCUUAUUUUCAUCUUUUCUAGCUUGAACUAUAGUGUUUCCCUGGUACGAACCGCUUCUUCUUUCUUGACUUGGAAUUUCUUAAAGACAAAUCGGAAGGUCUUUCUUUGGAGCGUGAUGUAGGCUUUUGGAUAUGCUUAGAAAGAAAGGGUAUUAAAGGCUCAAAACAAUUCAAUGGGUUCAACAUUACAACUUUCGGAAUCAAAUCUCUUACAACAACCACAACUUCUGCCCCAGUUUUUUACUUGGGGACUUUUGAGAUUUUUAUUUUAAUGAGACUGAACCGUGAGGCUGUCUACAUAUCAUUAAAAGGAAUCACGUCAAACAUAGUUUAUCCUAUGCUUUGUUUUUGUUGUGAUUUUCUCAUCUCUCCUUUCUUCCCACCAUUUUCUUUUGUUUCUUCCCCUUUCCUUUUGUUAUUUUGCUACUUUGUGUUUUUUUUUUCUCUUUUUUUUCUUUCUUUUCUUCUUCUUUUAUUUUAUCUUUUUUUCUCCUUCUUUUCUUUUUCUUUUUAUUUUUUUUUCUUUUUCUUUCUUCUUUUCAUUCUUUCCUUUUCUUUUCCUUUUAACUCAUUUCUCACGCUUGCGUUUCUGAUUUUUGUGUCGAUUCUUAAAUAGGGUAUAGAAAGAAAAUAAUUAAAGCUCGAAAGGGUUAACAAGGGAUAAAGUGUUUAUGUAGUAUAAUAAAAUGCCUUCAUCAUUCCAAUAUCUAUAACAUGCCAAGUACAAACAAAUAUGAUUUGAUCAAAGCUAAUCAUACAUAGUAUCCCUUAACUGCAUCGGAAUUGAUGGCGAUUUCUAUGCACUUGCGUUCUACAUCUGUUAGAUAGAAUGUUUUGUUGGACAACACUCUUGACACGAUGAACGGCCCUUGCCAAUUUGGGGAGAACUUUCCCUUUGCCUCUGCCUGGUGAGGUAGGAUGCACUUCAAUACCAACUGACCCAUUUCAAACUUUCUUGGGUGAACCUUCUUGUUAUAUGCUCUAGACAUUCUCUAUUGAUACAACUGGCUAUGACAUAUUGUUGCUAAUCUUUUCUCAUCAAUUAAGCUCAACUGCGCCAUACAGGUUUUGACCCACUCAUCAUUAUCAGUUUCUGCUUCGGCGACAAUCCGAAGGGACGGGAUCUCAAUGCGGUAUUACUGCUUCUGUGCUAUACACCAACAAAUACGGAGUUUCCCCUACUGAGGUGCGAACAAUAGUAUGAUAGCCUAACAAUGCAAAGGGUAGCUUCUCAUGCCAUUGCCUGGACCCUUCCACCAUUUUCGAAGUAUCUUCUUUAUGUUCUUGUUGGCUACCUCAACUGCUCCAUUCGCGUUGGAACGGUAUGGGGUGAAAAUGUGAUGUGUAAUCUUAAACUACUGACAUACCUCUUUCAUCAAAUGACUGUUGAGACUACUCCAUUAUCAGUGAUGAUUGUCUUCGGGAUUGCAAACCGGCAAAUGAUAUUUGAAUGCAUAAGGUUGACCACGGCUCUCUUGGUCACUGCCUUGAAAGUUUUAGCUUCGAUCCACUUGGUGAAAUAAUCAAUAGCAACCAGGAUGAACCUGUGUCCAUUGGAAGCUGCUGGCUCGAUGGGCCCAAUGAAAUCCAUGCCCCAAGCAGUGAAGGGCCAUGGUGCAGACAUUGUAUGUAAUUCAGAUGGCGGGGAGUGAAUCAAGUCUCCAUGCACCUGACAUUGAUGAAAUUUGCACACGAAACUAUUACAAUCUCGCUCCAUGGUGAGCCAAUAAUAACCUGCCUGGAGGAUCUUCUUUGCCAAAACAUACCCGCUUAUAUGAGUUCAGCAAGCUCCUAAAUGUACCUCGGUCAUGAUGCUCAUGGCCUAUCUAGCAUCUAUGAAUCUUAACAAUCCAAGGUCUGGAAUUCUUUUGUAUAAUACCCCCUUCCCCCACUGAAAAAAUAACCCCGCUUGAUAAGUGAAGAAUUGUUCUCUUUUGAUCACUUGUGGCUUGUAACGAGUACACCCCUAUCCGGAUAUAUUCUUGGGAUAUGCUUGAACUCUACUGAUCAGAACCGUUGACAAAGAUCAUGCAAGCAUUGUCGGUAUGGUAUGAGCUUCAAAUCUCGUAUUUCCCAUUUCCCUUAAAUUUGGUGUACCCGAAGGUCCGAGUCUCCCAAGACCAAGACUUCCUGGACACCCAUGUCUGCAGCUAGCCUCAGACCCAAAAUACAUGCUUUAUAUUCUGCCAUAUUAUUGGUGCGAUAGAAGUAGAGAUAAGCUGUAAUGGGGUAAUGGCGCCCCAUUUCAUAAAUGAGUAUUGCUUCUAUCCGGACGCCUUUCAUGUUGGCAGCCCCAUUGAAAAAUAAUUUCUAUCCCAGCUUCUCUCCUUGUUCCACUUCCUCAAUAUGCAUUACUUCCUCAUCCGGGAAGUAUGUCUUUAAAGGUUUGUAUUCUUCAUCCACCGGAUUCUCGACUAGAUGGUCAGCCAAUGCUUUCUCUUUCAUUGCAGUCCUAGUCAUAUAGACAAUGUCGAACUCGGUGAGCAAGACUUUCCAUUUUGCAAGCCUCCCUCUGGGCAUAGGCUUCUGGAAGUUGUAUUUCAAUGGGUCCAAGGGUUAGAUGAUGUUAAGUAGUAUAUGAUGAUAGGUUGUGCUUUAACUUUUGUGCUACCCAAGUUAGGGCCCAGCACGUCCUCUAAAGAUGAGUAUACUUAACCUCAUAAGCUGUAAAUUUUUUGCUAAGGUAGUAUAUGGCUUGCUCCUUCCUCCCGUUGACAUCGUGCUGACCCAACACACAUCCGAAUGAGUUGUCCAAGACUGUCGAAUAUAAGAUCAAAGGCCUCUCUGGUUCCAUUGGGACCAAUAUCGGUGGGUUCGACAGAUACCCUUUAUUAUCAAAAUCCUCUUGGCAUUCCCCCGUCCAUUUGACCGCUGCAUCCUUUUUCAACAGCUUAAAGAUGGCUCACAAGUCGUCAUGAGAUGAGCAAUAAACCGGCUGAUGUAAUUCAAUCUCCCCAACAAACUCAUUACCUCUAUUUUAUUCCUCGGAGGCGGCAAUUCUUGUAGGGCUUUGAUCUUUGAUGGAUCUAGCUCAAUGCCUCGACGGCUGACUAUGAAUUCUAGCAACUUCCCUGAUGGCACACCAAAUGCGCAUUUCGUAUGAUUGAGCUUGAGGUUGUACCUGCGGAGCCUCUAGAAGAAUUUUCUCAGAUCUCUGACGUGGUCGGAUUGCUUCCUAGAUUUCACAAUUACAUCAUCCACAUAGACCUCAAUCUUCUUGUUUCUCAUAUCGUGGAAUAUGGUUGUCAUCGCCCUCAUAUAGGUUGCCUGAGCAUUCUUCAGACCGAAGGGUGUGACCUUAUAGCAAUAUGUUCUCCACGGUGUGAUGAAUGGUGUCUUCUGCGCAUCAUCCUCAUCCAUCAAAAUUUGGUGAUAGCAUGCGUAACAAUCCCCAAAAGAACCAAUCUCAUGUUUUGCACAAUUGUCAAUUAAUAUGUAGAUGUUCGGCAGUGGAAAGUUUUCCUUGGGACUCACUUUGUUGAUGUCACGAUAAUCGACACACACCCUGGUUUUACCAUACUUCUUUGGCACAGGCACGCCAUUGGAUAACCAGGCGGGAUAUCGUGUGACUCGUAUGACCUUUGCCUCAACCAUUUGGUAACUUCCUCUUAGAUAUUUACGUUCACAUCAGUUUUAAACUUCCUCAACUUUGGUUUGACAGGAGGGUAGUAUGGGUCAGUGGGCAAUUUUUGAACUACCAAGUCAGUGCUCAUCCUUGGCAUAUCGUCGUAGGACCAUACAAAAACAUCUUUGUAUUCAAGCAGCGCCUUUGAUUAAUUCUUCCCUGAGCUGCGGCUCAAGAUGGACACUUAUUUUGGUUUCUCUGAUAUUAUCUGGGUCGCCUAGAUUGACUGCCUCUGUAUCGCUCAGGUUUGGCUUGAAUUUCUCCUCAAAUGGCUUAACUCUUUACUAAUUUCCUCAAACGCCCUUUCCCCAUCAUAUUCUGGUCCAUCCAUAUAUUCUAUCUCUUGAAUUAUUACUUCUGAAUUAGACCGACAUUCAAGAGUGGGCUGAAGAGUCCUUAUGCAUGUCAUAUUAUUGGAUCCAUUAUAAAAAUGAAUGUACAAGAAAGAAAAGAAAAAUCAAAGAAAAAUAAAAAGUAUUAGCGCUGAUGAGAAAUGAAAUUGCAUUUCAUUGAAAUUGAAAGAUAACAAGGUUUACACAUCUAAACAGACGGAACAUAGACUCUGAAUUACAACCCUGGAAUAAUCCAGAGAAAUUGAAAUAAAAAUCAAAGCAAACUACCAAAACUCCUUCCUGGUCGGGAGAGGAGUAGCUUCCCAAUUGUUGAUCCUUGCACAGGGCCCAACAAAUUGCACAUCUGCCUUACUAGAGCCCUCUCCGGCUUCUACCAUACUCACAUCCUCAAACAACCUUUAAAGCAAUUCCUUAUCAGGACUACCCAUAGCACUGGAACUUGUUGUUGUCGGGUGCUUCUUGGUACCGGGCCUAACAAAUGAUCUAAAGAGAUGUGGCACAGGCUUUGGAAGUGCCCAUGCUUUCUUCUUUAUCCUUCUGGCUCUCUUGAUGUCUACAAUUGUGGGCUUGAAUUCCAAACCAAAGGUGUCCAUGUACCUGGGAGAGAUACUGGUUUUAUGAUACCAUGAAGUGACGCCCACAUGCCCUUUCCUGGAACAGACCCAUUUUUUUACAUCUCAACUACCACUGUGACUAAUGCAGCAGCUAACGUUGGCGUGGGAACACACUCCCCUUCUGGAACAUUUUUCACUGAUACCAAGUCAUGAACUUGAUACACCCAGGGACCCUUGUCGUCAUCUGUCUCAAUGAAUGGUACGAUAGCAUCACUGUGAGCAUACAGAUGGUCCUCGCUGUGGACAACUAUUUCUUGUCGAUCAUAUUCAAAUUUCACCAUUUGAUGCAAAGUAGAGGGGAUUGCUCUAGCAGCGUGGAUCUAGGGCCAUCCCAACAGCAGGUUGUAAGAGACAUCCACAUCUAGUACUUGGAAUUCCAUGGUAAAACCAAUUGGUCCGAUUAUGAGCUCGAGCACUACGUCACUGACCAAAUCUUGUCCACCACCAUCAAACCCUCGUACACAAAUACUGUUUUUUUGAAUUAUUUCAUCAUCCACCUUCAACUUGUUCACCGUAGAAAGAGGGAAAAUAUUUGCACUUGAACCAUUAUCAACCGACACUCGAGUAACCAUAGAAUCCUCGCACUUUACCGUGAGGUAGAGUGCUCUAUUAUGCUCGGUGCCCUCUAUUGGUAAUUCAUCAUCAGAAAAAUUGACUCAGUUCACCUCAAAAAUCUUGUUGGCUAUCUUCUCCAAGUGAUUGACUUUGAUUUUAUCAGGGACAUAGGCCUCGUUUAGGAUCUUCAUCAAUGCCCGACGGUGCUCGUCCGAAUAAAUCAACAAUGAUAACAGCGAGAUUUGAGCAGGCGUAUUUCUCAGUUGCUCCACAAUAGAGUAAUCAUGCAUUUUCAUCUUCUUAAGAAACUCUUUUGCUUCCCCUUCACUCAUAAUUUUAUUCACCAUUACUGAGUUAUCCUUGGUUGGUUUUGAUUUUCUCAAUUCUUCAUGAGCAAAGCACCUCCCCUAUCGGGUCAAUCCGUGGGUCUCACAAACUUCUUCGCUGGCCUCUUUCCCUUUGUAAGUCACUGUUACUUGGUCAUAAUUCCAAGGUACUGCCUUGCUUCUGAUCAUUGGUAGCUGAGUUACAAGUUUGAUAAUGACAGGUUCUGUGCGAGCGCCUUCCACGACAACCACAAGCUUGUUGGCUACCUCUGGUACAACCACUCUUGCAUUUUCUUGUCUCACCAUCCCAUCUUUUGGGGAUUCCUUAUUGACUUCAACAAAAGGCUCACUGCUUUCUCCAUUAAGCAUCGACAUCUCGCUUGUUAGAUUCUCAACCAUCUUCCGCUCACUGGCUCGGAUCAUCAUGACAGUUUGUGAGGGCUUUUUGGGAUCUCUCUCUUUGUGCACUAUCUCAAUCAUAUUUGUCUCUUGAUGAGUAGGCAGCAGGUUUUGAUUAAUAUUGGGUGCUUCCGGAGCUUGCACCUCAAUCCAAUGUAAAUCAAUAAGUUCUUAAAUAGAACAUUUCGAAAGCCAACAUUUCUCUGUGUCAUGCCUCGAGGCACUCGAAUAAUACUCAUAACUGACAAAAUAGUCUAGAUUUCUAGGAUGAGGAUUUGGCAAUUUUUCUUCAAUCGGCCUCAACAUAUCUAACUGUCUCAACUCGAGGAAUAAACUGGUGUACCACUCUCCCAAUAGAGUGAAAUUUUUCUUCUUAUGUAUCCUCUCAGUUUUUAAAGCUUGGUUGGCCUGGAAAGCUAGUAUCGGGGGUUGUUGGUAGGCUCUUGGAGCGUAGUUAUUUUGUGGAGCUUGGUAAUUAUUUUGCGGGGUUGGCACACGCCAUUGUGCGUACGCGGGAGGUUGAGUAUAUGUUUGUGCAUGAUGGAUGGAAAUACGAGGAUCAUGCAAUGGGUAGUAGUGUUAUGGUGGGCUAUAUAGAGUGUGAGGGUAGAUUUGGUGGUGAGGUCGGGGUUGGUUGUAAUGGGAUGGACCCCGCAGCCCGAACCAAGUCCCUGAGUGAAUGGUUGCUACUCCUCCUUCUUCUUCUUUCCAAUUUAUCCCCCGGUCCCGCUUUCGGUAGCUUGUGUGAUUGCUUUGAUUGCUGAAUAACUCAUAAUCUUGUUGGAUUUGAGUCCCUCUUCGACCAUACUCCCCAUUUUUACUACCUCAUUGGUGGGUGGGAGGUUGGGUAUAUGUUUGUACAUGAUGGACUGAAAAUCAAGGUUCAGGAGGUGGGUAGUAGUGUUGUGGAAGGUUAUAUGGAGUGUGUGGGUAGGUUUGAUGAUGAGUUAGGGGUUGGUUGUAAUGGGAUGGACCCUGAGUCCCGAACCAAGUUCCUGAGUCAAUUGUCGCUACUUAUUCCUUCUUUUUCUUUCAAUUGCUCCCCUGGUCUCGCUUUGGAUAGCCUGGGUGGUUGCCUUGAUUGUUGAAUAACUCAUGAUCUUGUUAGAUUUGAGUCCAUCUUCGACCAUACUUCCCAUUUUUACUACCUCAUUGAAGGAUUUACCCACUGCCAAUACUAGGUGACCAAAAUAUGUAGGCUCCAAGGCUUGCAAGAAGUAAUCUACCAUUUCUCUUUCCUUCACUGGGAGGUCGACCCUUGCUGCCUACUCCUUCCAAUGGAAACCAUACUCUCUGAAGCUCUCAUUGUGCUUCUUUUCCAGUUUCCUCAGAUACAAACGAUCCGGGAUAAUUUCAAGGUUGUACUGAAAAUGAAUGGCGAAUGCUUGGGCUAGAUCGUCCCAUGUGUACCACCGAGCAUGAUCCUGUCAGGUGUACUAUUCUAACACUGAACCACUAAAACUUUGACUGAAGUAAGCCAUCAGUAAUUCAUCCUUUCUGCCUGCUCCUCUCAUCUUGCUGCAAAACCCCUAAGUGUGCCACCAGAUCACCAUGUCCAUCGUAUAAAUCAAAAUUGGGCAUCUUAAAGCCUGGAGGUAAUUGUACAUCAUGUCCAUCGUAUAAAUCAAAUUUGGGCAUCUUAAAGCCUGGAGGCAAUUGUACAUCUGGUAACAAACAGAUAUUUUUGUAUGCCACACUCACUUGGCCUCCCAGCCCUCGCAUAUCUCUGAAUGAUUGCUCUAAAUUUUUGACUUUCCUGAGUACCUCCUCUUGCUCGGGGGUUUUAACUGGUUUUUCAGCCUCAAUAGGGAUUUCAAAACGGGGAGCGUAAGAGUAGGUUUUGUUGGCUUUGAAGGUAGGUUCUGGUAGGUAGUACUAAUUAUCAUAAGCUUGGAGCAAAGGAUCACUUGAUGAUCUAUGGAGUGUGGCGGGUGGAGUGCCACAUAGAUGGGAGCAACUGGUGGAGAAGAGUGAGGAACAGCUUUGGGUGGUGGAGCUGGGGUACCUGAGAAGUUGUACCCUGGUAUUGUGGGUAGAUGGCAAAGCUUGGGGGGGGAUCAGUGGUAGGGUGGUCAUGUGACCGGGCUAAUGGUGGGAUGAAGGUCGAAUUAGCAAGAUAAGCUGGUGGUGGUUGCCCUCUCACCCAUGCCUGAUAUAUUUCAGCCAUCUGAUACUUCAGUUUUACAUUUCUUCUUUCAUUGCGUUAACAUCCAACUCAUCUACCUCUUUUGAGGGAUCAAUGAUACUUGCGUCGGUUUCUUGGUUGGUCAUAGUCAGCUUGCUUUUGGACCGAGUGUUAUAAGAGUGGGUUACCAGAAUGCCUUAAAAACUAACCACAUGUCUGGGAUGGCAAAGCAACACCAAAACUUGUUAGCGGUUAGGCUUCAACAUAUAGGUAGCCACAUAUUCGGGGAUGGAUUCACCUAAGCAGUUACCGAUUUCUAUUAUGCACAUGGAUUAGUUGCUUGCGUCAUCCCGACUUUCAUCCUAUGCCAUUUUUCUUAUCUUUCUUGUUUCUUUUCUUCUUCCCCCCUUUUUGCUCAGUUUGCUUUUGCCUACCUCUUUUUGUUUUAUUAUUCUCUCCCUUUAUUUUACCAUUGAUUCUCUCAUGGUUUUUCUUUUUUUUCUUUUUCUUAUUUUUAUUAUGGUCAAAUACUAUGGAGAUUGCAUAUGUAUCAUGACCCCGCAUGAACCAGACCGAGCGUACUUAUGGUAGAUAAAUACAGAAAUAUUUUUGGAAACUUUUCAAUUUUCAUAAAAUAAGACACUCGAUUACAACUACUAACAGACUUUAAUAAAAGAAAUCAAUAGACUUUGACUCAAAUGAAACCAGUAGAUUCAGAUAGAAAGAUGAAAAAAACUAAUUUGAAAACCUACUACAGACUCGAAUAAAAGAAAAUACAUACUUCACAAAUGGACCAACAGAUUUGAAAACCAUGAAUACAUUAAGGCUUUUAAUGCUCCUAGGGCCUGUGGGACAUCAUUCGGUCUCGCCACAGACCUGUGUGCUAAAUCGCCUUGGAGGUGGUGGAGGUCUUUCAUCACUUGACGAACAAAGGUCAUUGCGGUGGCAAAGAACAUAGAUCUUGUCAUAUCUUCACAGUAGCUACACUUUACGAUGAUGUAAUCAGCGAUCAUCCGUACCCUCUCUCUUAUAGCACCCUUUUCUUACAACAAUCGCCCAUUCUGCUGGGCCUUGGCCUCCAAAGUUUUUUGGCUAUACAACUUAGUUCUUGAAAUUGUUGCAAAUCUCUCUCCAUCCAUGCUAUUAUUGUGUAACAAUGCUCUCUCUCCGCCUUGAAGGCCUUCACUUCUUAACCAUUUUGUUUUCAACCAUGAUAACCUUCUUCUUCAACCCCGCAACCCCGUUGUCACACCUUUCUUUUAAUUGUUCAAUCAUGUGUGCUCGCACCUCUGCAUUUUUGGCCAAUUAUUUCCGGGCUCUGGACAAAUCACUCUUUGCUUUGUUCAAGUCAAAACCAUAUUCUUCUACUUUCCGCCUCAGAUUGUCUAUGAGCUUUUCAUCCUUCCACUUCUGGCGGGAUUCUCUGCAGCUAUUUUCAUCUUCUGAAUUUGGGCUCACAAAGCUUCAUUUUCUUUGGCCAGUCGUUUCCUUUCCCCCUCGUCUACCGCAACUUGCAAAGCAUUUUCAAAUUGAAGGUCUUUGACUUGUUUUUCCAAUUUUCGUAUUGAGGCCAUGUAUUCUUUUCCUUGGCUAACUAAUUCCAUUGUUCUUGUGACGCCUCAACAAACUCCUGAAGAUGUGGCCUCUUAGCCGGCCUUCCAAACUCUAUAUCCUUUUUAUACCAAGCCAGGUACCCUGGUGCCACCUCACCUUUACAAAAGUCUUGUACUCGACUGUUCGCCAUCAAGUACUGAUAUUCGCUCCAAAUCUAGCGAACUGCUACUUCGUGAAACUGACCAUUGGGACCAAUUUCGACCACGUGGCGACUAAUGUCUUCAUCCCUCGGAACCAUUUGGCACCUCCCUAAAUGUCUUAGAACCAUGUACGGAGCAUAGUAUUGGAUGCUCCGGAGACCCAUCAAAAGCAAAAUGAGGCCCGGUAGCUGGCAUAUAUAUAAUUUCAUCAAUGGGGAGCCACCCGAACGUCCAUUCUAUUUGACUUGCACGUAUUGUAUGGAGAUAUGAUACCCAUUAUGGGACCUCCUCUGGUAAUCUGAACCCAUCAGCUCUAGUAUAAAAUUCCUCUAUGCAGCUCUUCUCUGAUGGCCCAUAACUCAUGAAUUGCGAUCGAUGGAAAAAGUGUUCAACCAUCCACAUAUGUAACAACAAAUUGCAUCCUUCGAAGAAAUCUCCUCCGGCUUUAUAGGCUGUGAGGGCACGGAAGAUUUCAAUCGUACCAUGGGUGCAAGCGUGCUCUUGGCCUGAGUGAGCAAAGUGCUGACAACCCCUGCUAUCCAUAUGUCAAUAUUCCCAUCUUUCCGUGGAAACACCACGAGGCCCAAGAAGAAUACCAUAAAUGCAAAACACAUGUGUUCUUCCCACUUGAGUCGGUUUCCCUUGCUGCAAAUUUUAUUUUCUGGGUCGUUAAACGCCCUUAUAUGCCUGUAUCUUUGGUAUAUAAACCGUGGAGUGCAAAAACCCGCUGACAGAUAUGGAUUGUGAACCCCCCUGCUUAUCUUUAGUGAGUCCAAGAAUAUAUGUGCAGUGACGGCCCUUGACGCAAUCAAAUACUGAUGUCUCAAAGUUAUUUUAGGAACCCCGAUAUAUCCAGUUAUUUCUUCUAAGGUCGGAGUGAGUUUAAAGUCCGGAAAAUGGAAUACGUUGUGGGCCGAGUCCCACAAUGUAACCAAUACCUUUAUGAUAUCUCCUCUAGGAUUAAUUUUCAACAACGCGGCGAGUCCUCCCACAUGCGCAUUGACCUUGUUUUGCCCCGAGUCACUUAAAUCAUUCACAUGUGCACCUCCAAAGGGAACUUGUUCAUGACUUGUAUUGGCAAAUUUUGAUUCGUGCUCAUUCUACACAUUUAUUAGGGUGAUUAAGCAAAAAUCAUGAUUUAUUGGACUCAAAAACAAAGUUGAUUUUCCAAAAUUUUAUUUCAAAAACUAAAUCUCGGCCUUGCAAAUACGGCCUUUCAGCACUUCCGGGGGAAGAUUUUAAAGUUGUGCCUGCUACCAGUCAAAAGUUGAAAUAAUCCAAGGUGGCUGUUUUUGCAAAAAAUAGCCUUCUGGUGCACUUUUAGGGACAUGCACAUUGGACUAAAAAAUGAAGUUUUUUUUAAAAUUUUCAUUUCAAAAAUAAAAUCUCGGCUUCGCAAAUACAGCCUUUCAGCACUUCUAGGGGAAGGUUUUAAGGUUGUGCCUGCUACCGGCCAAAAUUUGGAAAAUAGUCUAGGGUGGCUGUUCUUGCGAAAAUAGCCUUCUGGCGCUUUUUUGGGGAUACUCGGCUAAUUUUGACAAGACAUGUCUUUUUUAUUUCCAACCAAGAAAAUUUGAUUUUUUGAGGCUAUUUGUGCAAAAAAUGAAGUUGGGCCCGAUGGGGGUUGCCUAUGUAUCUCACGUCCUUUGAGAAUCAAACUGGUGUAGUUCGGGCAAUUUUGACAAAAUUAAAAACCAACUUCUAUUUUUUGUAAGUAAAAUUCCUUUAUUUGUAUUUUUUUUAUUUUCGAAAACAAACUCUCUUUGUUUUUGGUUUUUGUUUUAUUUUUUCAAAAUUUCGGCAACAUUUCAGUAUCGGUUUUUAAAAUAGGUAAAUUCCUUCCUCAUCCCCCACACUGUUAAUAUUUGUCAAAUUCCCCUCUUCUUUUCUUUUCUUUUUCUUCUCUUUUUUUCAAAAGCCGAUCGGCAUGAAAAAUCGGGAAUAAAUGCACAAGUAGCACGCAAGAUGCAUCAAGAUGGUUUGUUAAUUUGGGUACACCUGUCCUAGACGGACCCUACCCCUGUGUUGCGUCCCCUAAGUCAAAUGCAUGAUGAAAAUAAGUGUUCCUACCAGGGCUCCGGCAUGAGGUUAAAUUAUUCUGGGUUCAAAACCUGGGUAUAUGUUCUAGACUGUGUACCUGAGCGGACAACUCGACUUGAGGUGAGAACUACGUACCGGGAACCAAAAGGCCAUCUGGCUUUGUAACUUGUCCGAGCCUCUUUCCUAAUUUAAGGUAUGACACUAACAGAAUAGAGAGUCUCGAGCAGUGAGCACAUCCCCAAAGAUGACAAGAUAAGGGUUUUGCGACAGUAUAUAUACAGUUCAAAUAAUAUUAAAGCGAUAAAAAUAACAAUUAGCACAUUGGGCACAAUCAUGUAUAAAAUUCAGAUAUCAAAUAAAGCAAAAUACAAUAAUUAUUAUUUUAAGCUCGAAUUCUUGAACCCUGAACCAGAGAUUCUGGGUUCGAUCCCCAGCAAAGUCGCCAGAGCUGUCACACCUCCUUUUGGCUGCUACAAAGCGGUGAAGGGUGUAGAUAAGGGAUUUUUUCCAAUUUAAGGACAAUCAAAACAAGAUUCAAUUAUUUAAGAGAUUUUCGAGUCGCCACUUGGGAGAUUUAUUCUUUUCACAUUACACCCCGCGAAGGGCGCAGGUAAGGGAGGUUUUUCCAAUUAAAGGACAAUCGAAACAUGAUUUAUUUGUUUAGAGAUUUCAUAAUCGCCACUUGGGAUAAUUAUUGGUGUCCAAAGUCACCGGUUUAAAGCCCGAAUCGAGAAAAGUUUGACUCUGUAUACAGUCUGCAAGCCAGAAAUCCAGGUAAGGAAUCUUGUUAACCCAGGAGAAGGUGUUAGGCAUUUCCGAGUUCCGUGAUUCUAGCGCGGUCGCUCAAGUGUUAUAUUCGGCUUAAUCAUCUGAUUUUAAUGCAUUUUUGUACCUAUGUGCCAAAUUUAUCUUUUAACCGCUUUUAUUUAUUUUUAAGAAGAUUGUUUAAAACGCGUCUUGAAGCACGUCAGAUAAAUGUACCCGGGGUCUUCAACAUAUUUCAACAUUCUUGGGAUUUGGAUUUGGGUCAUAUAAAUGCACACUCGUAUUUAGGGAAGUUAAUUAUUUAACUAGCGCGCCUAAGGCAAUUGCGUGUUUUACAAUUUGCGAGGGGCCAUGGAAUAUUCACUAGGUGGCGUGCCUCGAAUUCUAAUAAUUCAAAGUCAAUUAAACGAUGUCCAUACAAUUAUUCAAUUUUACUCCGCAUUCCUUGAUUCUAAUUUAGUAACUAUACUAGGAGGGCUACAAUUGCUAUGUUGCUGAUAUGACAUAACUUAAUUAAAAAAACUUAAUUUGAGACAAACUAAAGUUCAAGUAUUAUUCAACUCCUAAAUGUGAUAUAACUAUAAGCUUGCGAUUACGGAACCUUACGCGAGGCAAUUGCAACCACUCUAUCAAAUGAUUUCGUUCUAUGCCAUUAAAAUUAACAAAAUCAAGCAGAAUUAAUCAUCGAUUACAUAACCUUACGUGAGGCAAUUGCAACCACUCUAUCAAAUGAUUUCGUUCAAUGCCAUAAAAAUUAACAAAAUCCAGCAGAAUUAAGCGUGGCAAAAUAAGGUAUGCGAUCAAACCCGCCAUAAUGGUCGAGUAAGUACAUCGACCAACUAAUUGGGCCAAACCCACCAGGCAGGCCUCAACUGGACUCUUACCAGCAGAGUCUAAUUUACUACUCUUGAAGAAGGUCCAAUAUAGAAUCAGAAACGACACUCACAAGGCAUAAUUAAUGGUUAACCUUAUCAAUCAAACCAAUUAACUGGAAAUAAUCAUAUUAAACGCGACACAUCACAUAAUGAACUGACAUUGCUCAUAAUACCAACCUUUUGACUAAAAUAAAAAAGGACUUAAAUAGUACCCAAAUUGCAAGCACAAUUGUGACUUUCAAGACCAAAGCAUCCGUGGUUCUUAUCAGAAAACCUUUUCAAAUCAAAACCCUUUGUGCAAAUCACAACAGUACAUAGGAACAUGUCACAAAAUACCAAUUUCACCCUGGCUAUUGAAUCAAAGCAGCCAAUCUGGUGAUUACAGACCAAAUGAAGCAGUACUUAAUAGCUAGACCAAAGCAGAUGUGAUCUAACCUAUGAUGUUCAAAGCUAGGAUCUGAAUUAGAUAUUAUAACUUAAAAGACAUCAGAUUGUUGAAGAAUAUAACUCAAAGCUGCUGAUGUCCAUUUUUAUUCCAAUGCAGAAAUGUACCUGGGAGUGAGAGAACAAAGAAAUAAAGAAGGAUCAGCAAUUAUUAAUAACAAAGAUCAGCAACAACAACAGCAGGUCAACAAGUGAACACAGCUUCAGCCUAGGAAUAAGUAAGGAAUAGUCAAUUGGGAGACACUUUCACACCAACACCAACACUCAAUAAAGUUCAACCAUGAAAAUCCGACCAGAAAUGAACCCCAAUACACUCGAAGAGCUACUGAUUCAACUCAUUUAAGAUUCAGCUGUUAGGAAUUCAUUUAGGAUAAAAUGUUGAGAAUUUCAGGAAUUUCCCUAAUGGAACAGUAGUGUCUGUAUUUUUUCUGUAUAUUUUUCUACUCUUUUCUGAUCUUUUUUAUCACUGAAAAACUCUUAAUCUCUUCAAAACUUCAUUUCUCUAAAAAUUUUAAAACUUGCCUUCAAAGGCAAGAAUGAAUGCCUUUAUAGGCAAGCAAACUAGGGCACCCUUCAGAUUUGUUAUUUCAAUUUGGUCUCUUAGUUUUUAACUUGUUAACCAAAUUAUAACACUAAAAUUAACAAGAAGUCUCUACUAGAAGCUUCCUAUUAUUAUUACUAUAAGAUUCCCUAAGUAACUACCAAUAUUACCCCUUAACUAUCACAGAAUUACCAUUCUUGUUUUGGGCUUUCACCACCAGCCUGCUUCAGGAUUCGAACAAUUGGCCCAAAUAUUUUAAAACCAACAAAACUUUGAAUUGAACCUACCCCUUUUAAACCAGAAUUAAAGAACAACUACCCAAUUGAACACAAUUUAUGUAAAAUAAAAUCAUGCAAUUAAAGGUACAAAACAACAUCUAAACUCUUCAUAUGACUAAAAGGGAAAACAGCUGGAUAAUGGGGCUAAAAAAAUCAACUAUACCUAAUUUCAUGACUAUUUUAAACACAUGCAAAUAUCCAUUAACAAGAUUUGGUCAAACUCAGAUGAACAAAUUACUAAAGCAAACAAGAGAAAUCAGAAAGAAGAAACAGAAGCAAAGAGGAAGACAAACCAAGCACAUUAAAAGAAUCAAAAGUUAAUAAAAUGGAAUGGGACUCAACACUCACCGAAAAUGGGGAUAAAUUUGGGAAAAGGAGGGUAUAACGGUAGCUUUUUCCAUUUUGAGACUGUUUGGAGCGACAUGGUUCUGGCCUGGCUCUUUCGAAUCAAUAUUCGAGAAGAUCCAGGGGUGUUUGAACGAUGUUGAAUGCUGAUUUUGCAUGAGGAAGAUACGGGGCUCAUUUUAUGUUAAUUUGGGACUGAUUGGUGGCGGCGGCGCCGUGUCCGGCGUAGGAGCCAGUGCUUUUGGCCAAUAUUCGAGAAGUUCGGCUUUGUUAUUAGGGAAGGCAGUGAUGGAUUUGGGUAGAGGAGAGGGAGGAGAAUUAGCAGUAUAAAUUUAACGGCCAUCGGAGCUCCGCCUCCGUGGCAAUUUCUAGCCGGCGGCGGAUGGCGGUGGCCGACGGAGACAGAGUGGCUCUAGGGUUUCAGGUGUGAGAGGUUAGAAAUAGGGGGUUUGGGGUCUGGCGGCGUUUAGACAUAUAUAUAUUUAGUACAUGCCAGUUCUCGGUCGUUGGAUCUUGAAUCCUCGACGAUUGAGAUUAACUUAAGCAAACAGCGUCGUUUGGUUAUUAGGGGGGCUAGAGCGGGUCUGGAGUAGGUAUUGGACCGGUUUGGAUGGGUUUUGGGCUGGAAUGUAAUCCAAUUAACCCAAUUUGUGUCUUCUUCUUUAUUUCCUUAUUUUUCAGAUUUCAUUUUCAAUCUCUUUCUUUUUUUUUCAAAAUUAAAACUAAAAAUUCUAAAAUAAUAUAAAUCCCCAUAUAAACCUAUAAAAAUGCUAAUUAAUCCUACAUAAUAAUUAUCACAAAUAAUUAAAAUAAAAUUAAAAGAAAAAUCACCUAACAAUCAAGAAUUAAAAUUAGAAGUGCAAAUUAAACUAUUUUUGAUUUUUUCUUUUUAUAAAAUGACUAAUUGCUAAUUAAUUCUUGAAAAUUAUCAAAUCAACUUCUAAAUGCACAUGUAAAAUAUUUUAUAUUUUUUACUAAUUAAAAUGCACAAAUAAAAUGCAAACAACUAAUGACAAAUGCCACAAAAAUUGACAAAAUUGCAAAUAAAUAAAAGAAAUUAUAUUGUUUGAGUUUAUAGUAUUAAUUUGUGUAGGGAGAAAAUCACAUGUAUCCCUGUUUGUCUUCAUGACUUCAUGAUUCCAUGAUUUUGCUUUGAAGUUAUACUCAAUCCUCUCUUUUCUUCUAUUCAGAAACUGAAUCUUAUUAUAUGUGAAGUUCUAUAUUUCUAUUGAUUGAACAUAGUGCUUUGUGUAAGGUUAAUAUUAUUAUGAUAAGGAUUCUGAUAAAGCAUCUUUAGGAACUUUUGUGUGCUAAUGGAAAUACUUAAGCUAAUCAACUCGUAAUUAGUUCGCCAGGGCAGGAGUAUCUGUAUUUUUUGUGUUGCUGCAAUCUAAACUUUUUGUUCUUUGCCUUUCCUUUAGAUGUUUUUUCCCCAGUGUUUAGACUAUUGAGUACAUUAUAGUGUUUUCUGUCCCCUCCNNNNNNNNNNNNNNNNNNNNNNNNNNNNNNNNNNNNNNNNNNNNNNNNNNNNNNNNNNNNNNNNNNNNNNNNNNNNNNNNNNNNNNNNNNNNNNNNNNNNNNNNNNNNNNNNNNNNNNNNNNNNNNNNNNNNNNNNNNNNNNNNNNNNNNNNNNNNNNNNNNNNNNNNNNNNNNNNNNNNNNNNNNNNNNNNNNNNNNNNNNNNNNNNNNNNNNNNNNNNNNNNNNNNNNNNNNNNNNNNNNNNNNNNNNNNNNNNNNNNNNNNNNNNNNNNNNNNNNNNNNNNNNNNNNNNNNNNNNNNNNNNNNNNNNNNNNNNNNNNNNNNNNNNNNNNNNNNNNNNNNNNNNNNNNNNNNNNNNNNNNNNNNNNNNNGUAUCUGACUUAUCUCAGUAUGUGUAUCAUUUAUCUGAUAUUAUAAAUGCAAUUAUAAUUUGUUCUUAUAUUGUUCUAGGAAAAGUAUACUUCUAUGGUAGGAGUAUUAUAGCAUUUAGUUUACAUUGAAAGAAUCUCAUUGGAACUUAAACCGAUAGAGAAAAAUAAGUCGUUGGUGGUUAGGGGUAUUUGGGAGUGGAGUUUAACUCUAGGUUGGGCUGCUCUCCUCGGCACAAUUAUUGCCCUGGGACUUGAGUACCUUGAGAACUUUGAAGUGUCUGGGGGACUCAUGAGAUAUCUUGAGUAAAAAUUCCUCUUUAGCCCUUAAUUCAUUGAUAUUUUUGGUUCUUUAUUUUGCUUUGAUCGUCUGUUUAUAUGUCUGGUGCAUGACAUAUAAUCAUUCUCUUUCUCUUGAAGAUGUGCAUUUGUUUGGUGCAUGACAUAUAAUUAUUAAUCCUCAUUUCGCUAAUCGCAAUGUGUUUAUAUCAUAUUAUGUUUUGCGCUCACCUACUUUUCUUUUAACAAGAUUUUGAAGCUCAUAACUUAGUAGAAAUAGUAGCUCUCAUUUUCAAAGAAGAAUCAGAUCCGAAUUGCAUGGCUAGCUUUCUAGAAGUCGACUCUUUCAAAAAACCAAAGUGUUGCUGCCAAAAGACGAUUUCUAAAUGACUCCUCAAGUCUAAUAAUUUAAGAUUUCAUAAACUAAGGUAUAUAUUAGGCUCACUGUUUUACGAACAUCUCUUAGAGUUAACAUGAACACCUAUUAUCUAAACCAAUUGUUGUCCUAGCUUAACCUCUUUUUACGAGCUUUAUAAAUAUAACCACUUAAAUACAUAUUUCAAACCUCUUCAAUUAUAUCUACCAACAUAUCUUUAGACUUAUUUAUAAAUUCGCAUCCUUUUAAAAGUCUCACACAACUUUUAUUAAUACUACAUUCUCCUUUACAUACACGGUAAGUUGUACUCUUUAACACUAAUUAAGGCAUAGUAUAAAUAAUUGAUGCUAAACCUAGUCUAAGUCCUAUGGAGCUAUCUUAUGUAGUACUUAAGGGAUGCCUAACACCUCCCCCUAUAAGAACAAGAAUCCUUACAUAUAAUCUCACUGGUAAACAGACCAAUAAAGAAUAUGACUUAGUAAUUAAAUAGGUAAGCUAGUUGAUCACGCCCAACUAUGCCUAAUAAAUGAAAAAGCGGACAAUGCAAAUAUAAUCCGGUUUACAAGUCCGAAGUCGAAUCCUCGGAGAACUAACCUAUCUAUUACAACUCUUAGUGAUGCUAGUACAAGCUCAAACAAUUUUUGGAUACAAGAUUUUUUUUCAAUAAAUAUUGGGUUUCGUUUAGCUAAAGUAAAAUAAUAUUAAAACUAGGAAUAUUCCAAAUCAAAGACAAUUCAAUAGUAAAAAGAUCUAGGGUAUUGAUUUUCCCAAUUGCUAGUUUAAUUCUUAACUCUUUUGCUAUGAUCUCACCAUAAUACUCUAUGAGGAUUAUGAGCUAUGGGUUACCGCAAUUAUCUCUCAAUCAACUACGAUAAUUUACUAGAGCAUUCUCUCAAACUACUUUAGUUGCUAAUUUAUGCAGCUCUGAACUAUCCCACCGAAGUUCCGUUAUCUCUAACCCCACUUUUAAAUUCAAGUAAUGAAUCUCUUCAAUUACCCAAAAGUGGUGUUGUUCAACACAAUCUAACCUAGUAUUCUUUCUCAAGCAACACAAGGCAAUUAGACAGGAUUAAUCGAGGGCACAUUCAAUUAAUUACCAUACAAAAUAUAGUUGAUAAUCAUAUAAUAAACCCGGCUCGAUUAUAACAAAAGUGAAUCAAGACUUCAUCUAACAAUGGUUCCAUCAAUCCUAGAUUAAAUGUUUAUCUACUCAUAGUAAAACAAGAUAAAACCAUAAAGUCAUUCAUAAUUCACAAAAUAAUGAUAACGAAAAGAAUAAUGAAAAACUAUAAUGGUGUCUUGAUCUCCUCACACUUGUUCUUGCCUCCAAUUGAGUCUAAAAACAAGCUUAACCUUAUCUUGGGCGAGUUUGUUGAGUUUAUAUGGGGUUAGGAUAAGUUUCCCACGAUUUACACUUUAGCCCUUAAACUUUUUUGCCUUCUCCAGAUCGGCCGCGGUGGCGGGACAACUAUGGAACGACUGCGGUCAUCUUAAACCUUUCUGUAUUUUGCCUUCUUUCACCGCAUUCCAGUCGCGGUAGACUGUUGGCCAGUUUUUCUUCACCUUUUCUUGCUUGUUUUCAUUCGGUAUCUUCUCAAUUGGUCUUGUAACUAUAUAUUUUACCCCAAAACACUCUAUAUCCUCCUCCUAACUUGGAGUAGUUCCUAAAAAGCAUAAAAAACUCUAUUGGAGCAUUUUGCUAUCAUUUAGCACUUAAAACAUCAAUAAAGUAUGGUUAACUUAGAGCAUAAAUAGCAUCUACAUCGUAUAAUAUAGGAUACUAUCAACAACCCACACUUAAAUUGUUGCUAGUUCUCUAGCAACAAAACCACACUCUAUAUGCCUAAUCAUUACUAGGUCACUUCUCUACUCCUUAUACCAAGAAUAAUUCACAUAGAUAGACUACCUUCACGUAACUUCCUAACCUCAAGAGUGGACUCUCUCGCUAGCCACAUAAUGUCCUUUACCGGCUUUCGUACUCUCAGUCAGAGGUCUACUCACCACAAAAGAGACUUGUGCCAUGUCAUUAUAAUUCACACACCGAGGAAUUCACAUAUGUAAGAUUUCACUCACCCUCAGAAAUAAAUUCUUAUGUCACAAACAACACACCAUAGGCUUGCACGUAGUUUGAUACUGGAUUCAGUCGAGCUCUUUUGGUCUAGAAUCAAGUAGGACUUUAUUUGGUUGUAGUGUUGGUUGCGGGACAAGUAGGAUUCAUAUGGGUAUUGUGACUACACCUCCCUAAGCACUUCAAUAUAUUUUUCACUUUCAAGCACAUACCUUUGUCAAACCUUCAUUCCACCUUUACAUCAUUGAGUUAAACCCCCUAUUUCUUUAAGCACAUUUACAUCAAGAGUAACCACUUAGCAAGAAUAUAUAUACUUCAAUUCAUUGGCUCUUAUUUUUUUCAAUACAACGCACCUUUCUCCUUAUUUCAUUAGCUCCACUCAAAAGCCCAACCAACCACCCCACACUUUAAAUUUUCUAUAUUACUUACAAUUCAAGUGCUUCUAAGAGGUGAGAGGGUUCAAAAAGAUAGACAAUUCACAACUUGGGUAAGGCUUGUAAUGUGAUUUCCAAAGAAACAGGAUUACAGGCUCAAAGGGGUUAACUAGGAUAUACACAAUCAGGUCGGUGAAAACAAAUAUAGAUAGGUUCAACAAGGAAAUGCCUAUAUCACUUUCCAGACCAAUGAAGACUACCAUUUCGCUUCGUACACAUACAGAGAAAGUUUUAGGCAUCAUGUGUUAGCAUAGAAUACACAAAGCCUCACUCACACAUGCCGCAUGACUCAAUUCAGUUAUGACCAUCAGACACUCUACUCAAGGUGCUUAAGCCAACUCAAGAACACACAUUUUAAGGAUUUAUUGCUAGAGUCAACUAAUGAGCCUAAGUGUCACAUUAAAGCAAUCUCUUUUCUUCUUCGCCCAAAAAUUCUUAAAUUAAAAAAAAAAGAAAAACUAACAACACCUGGUUCAAAUGGAAACCCGUGUGAAGAAUUUUGGUUUAAAGAAAAAUCAAGGGGAGUUGAUACACUACCUAACAGAAGAAAAUCUUUUUUGUUUUUUUGUUCGACUUAAGUCCCUCAAGAGAUCCGUCGAGAGGUGUAUAUCUUCGGGCCAAGUCGAAGUUAACUAAUACAACAUCAAACAAAUUUAUACAAUUGUACAACAGUAACAACUAUCCCCCACCCCACACUUAAAGAUUUGGCAUAUCCCCAUGUCAAGGAAAUUAAAGUACAGUAAGGUAAGGGGACUUCCCUAGUGCUCAAUCGUGAUCAGAGACGGUGCCAAGAUCGAGGGGACACACUCGUCCUAAUGCCUGGAGACAGCCCAUGAACUUUUUCUCUGACCUAUCAUUUUGAGUAGCCAAAGUGUCAACUCUAGAACUCAGGUCAGUGACCAAAGUGCGUAAGCCAGCCAUAUCAUGUUCCAAGGCAGCCAUCUGGGUACUCCGACGAGCCUGUGAUGGGCACUCUACCCCGGUGGGGUGGCAGCAUAAAUAGCUCCCUCAUUUUCAUCAUCGACAUCAUCAUAAUCAUCCACCACAUCCUACUCUUUCCCAAUUGUGAUUUUACUAACCUUGAAUAGGGCUUUUAAUGGCAACUUCCUAUUUACUAUGGGAUUUUUAGGAACUCGUGAAACGCGACAUAGUUUGGUGACUAGGUAAGGGAAGUAGAAUCGUUUAAGUAUUUCCAGGGAGCUAAUGAACAUUUCAUCUUGAAUGAGUCGGGCCAAAUCAAAUCGUGGUGGUUGACAAAAUAAAAAAUUGUUGCUGCUCUUGGCCCAUUAACAUCUGUAUUGUUUUUGGAUGGCAGUAAACAGAUGUUAAUGAUUAUUAGCCAACACUUAGUUUCCCAAGUGAGAGAUUAGGAAUUUGGAUCCAUGCCAGCCAUACAAAUUGUUUGACAAAUUGGUUGCCACAGGUUUGCGUUGAUAAGCUUCGUAAAAAUGUAUGUCUCUAGUGAAGAUCAGAAACCUGUACACUCGAUAGAUGGCCUUAAGAUAUGCAUCCACCGGGGUAUUUCAUACUGUGACAACCCUCUCAACAUGCUUCGGGCAGUUCGCAUAAAACUCUUUUACCAUUAGUACAUUGCCCGCUUUCGAUUUAUGAAAGAAGAUGUCCAGCUGACGUCUCAUCAGCUCUUCAUAGAUACUUGGGCAUUCAACUUGCAAGGCAUGCCUGUCAAUUUGCAUUUUAGGCAACAGCUUCUUGGAUGACUUAGCAUUAAUCAAUCUUGAGCCAUUUUGGAGACAAACCAAGUGCGGUCAAACUAGUCCGCACUAGCCUGAGCUCAAUCUCUGGAUAAACCUCCUAAUCCACUAGCGGAGGAACCUGUGGCACAUUUUUCCUUGAUUGAUGCAUUGUACCUCACAAAACAAAAACUACUAUUAGUGAGGGCUUGAGUUGUGUGAACCCUAGGUGGUUACUCAUGCUUCACCACCGCCAUGGUCACAUUAGCCAUUAUAACUCUAUUGGGGCAAUUUCACAAGCACCUGCUGUGCAUGGAACUAUGAUUUAAUAGACCUAUCCUAUGGAAGUAAACACUCUCCCCAAAUCGACCAUUAUCCCUUCACAACUCCACCCCACCACAAUUAACUUCACACAACAACACCAUACCUCUCUCUACAACAUUCUACACAUUACCCACUAAAAAAGAAGAAAAGAAACCCAAAAAUUUAACAAUACAUACUACAACAAUUCAAACAUUAAAAUUGCAAAAUAUAAGGGAACAAGAAGAGAGAUGGAAAGCAUGACAUACCUGGUUCCUUGUCUAGUUGGAGUGUAAUGGAGGUUAGGGAGGAGGGAGUUGGAAAUGUGGGGNNNNNNNNNNNNNNNNNNNNNNNNNNNNNNNNNNNNNNNNNNNNNNNNNNNNNNNNNNNNNNNNNNNNNNNNNNNNNNNNNNNNNNNNNNNNNNNNNNNNNNNNNNNNNNNNNNNNNNNNNNNNNNNNNNNNNNNNNNNNNNNNNNNNNNNNNNNNNNNNNNNNNNNNNNNNNNNNNNNNNNNNNNNNNNNNNNNNNNNNNNNNNNNNNNNNNNNNNNNNNNNNNNNNNNNNNNNNNNNNNNNNNNNNNNNNNNNNNNNNNNNNNNNNNNNNNNNNNNNNNNNNNNNNNNNNNNNNNNNNNNNNNNNNNNNNNNNNNNNNNNNNNNNNNNNNNNNNNNNNNNNNNNNNNNNNNNNNNNNNNNNNNNNNNNNNNNNNNNNNNNNNNNNNNNNNNNNNNNNNNNNNNNNNNNNNNNNNNNNNNNNNNNNNNNNNNNNNNNNNNNNNNNNNNNNNNNNNNNNNNNNNNNNNNNNNNNNNNNNNNNNNNNNNNNNNNNNNNUAAGGGGAAUGGGGUUAGGAAUUUAGAGUAAGAGAACAUGAGUGGGGGGAAAGUGGGAGGCAAGUAGUUACAAGAAAAUAAACGAAAAAUAAAAAAAAUUAAUUACAACUUACUUGAGCAACAGAAUGGUCGCAAUUCACCGUGGUCAAGGGUUAGUUUCAUACACAUCAAGUACAACAUCAAAACAAAAGAAAAUUACACAAAAGAAAACACGGGUUGCUUCCCACGUAGCGCCUGAUUUAACGUCCCAACACGACCCAUGCGCAUAUCAUCACUCUUCAUUAGUGUAUUGGGGCUGCUCCAACAUUAUCACCACGCUGUCCCCUUUUCCUUCAAUCAUUCUAAGGUAAUGUUUCAACCUCUGCCCAUUCAUUAUGAAUUUGUUUGUCCCAUCUUCAUAUUCGAUCUCCACAACUCCAUUUGAGGACAUCUGCACCACUCAAAACGGUCCUGACCAUCGGGACUUCAACUUAUCCAGGAACAACCUCAAUCUUGAGUUAUAUAGCAACACUAAUUCUCCGGUUUCGAGGUUCCAAUUCAAGAUGUGCUUGUCAUGCAUCAGUUUGAUCGUGUCUUUAUAUAGUCUAGCACUCUCGAAUGCCUAGAACCGGAAUUCUUCAAGCUCAUGCAACCUAUUAACUCUGUUGGUCCUGCUGUCUCCAUGUUUAAGUUCAGCUGCCACAAUACCCAUAAUUCUUUGUGUUCAAGAUCAACCGGAAGGUGGCAUGCCUUUCCAAAUACCAACUUGUUGGUGACACACCAACUGGAGUUUUAAAGGAUGUGUGAUAUGCCCACAAUGCAUCAUCCAGAUUCCUUGCCCAACCAGUUCUUGUUGCAUUCGCUAUUUUCGAGAGGACACUUUUGAUUUCUCUAUUGGACAUUUCCACAUGCUCGUUUGUUUGUGGGUGGUAUGGUGAGGCUACCUUGUGGUGAACUCCAUACUUCUCCAACAAGGGUGCAAACACUCUAUUAUAAAAAUGAGAGCCACCAUCACCAAUUAUGGCUCGAGGGUAACAAAAUGUGUGAAGAUGUUUUUCUUUAGGAAACUGGUCACCCCUUUCGCAUCAUUAGUUGGGAGAGCAACUACUUCAACCCACUUGGAGACAUAGUCAACGACAACCAGUAUAUACUUGUUAUCGUAUGAGCUGACGGAAAGGCCCCAUGAAGUCGAUCCCCUACAUUUCAAACACUUCCACCUCUUGGAUUGUGGUCAUUGGCAUCCUAUGAUGAUGAGAUAUGUUGCCCGUCCUUUAAAGUUCAUCACACAUUUUUAACCAAGCAUGAGCAUCCUUGAACAAUGUAGGCCAAUACAAUCCUAAUUCCAGCACCUUUGCUCUAUCUGAAUUCCUCCAACGUGUCCACCAUAUGGCGAAGCAUGGCAAGACUGCAAAAUAGAGGGUUGAUCUUGCUCGGGGAUACACUACUAGAUUAUUUUAUCAAUGUAUAUUUUGAACAAUAGAGGUUCAUCCCAAUAAUACGCCCGACAAUCACGAAAUUUUUUCCUUUUGAAUUGAGGAGAGAUCAUGAGGUAAAAUACCACAUGCUAAGUAAUUAGCAAUAUAAGCAUACCAUGGUGCCUCCUCCAUUGUCACAACAAGUAAUGUCUCAUCUGGGAUUGUCUCAAGGAUAUCCUCAACCUCCAUUCUCUUUUCUGCCACUUCCAACUUCGAAAGAUGGUCUAAUAUUUGGUGUUUGUCCCUUUUCGAUCACAAAUCUCUAGGUCAAAUUCUUGUACUCAGCGAAUCAAGUGGGGCUUUGACUCCUUCUUUUCCAUCAAGUACCUAAUAGCUUCAUGGUCAGCAUAAACAAUAACUUUCAAUCCAAUCAGGUAUGACUUGAAUUUGUCGAAGGAAAAUACUACAACGAGCAUUUCCUUUUCUGUUACCGCGUACUUCUAGUUGGCCUUCUCCAGAUUGACCGCGGCCGCGGGACAAUCACGGAAUGAUCGCGGUCAUUUUAAACCUUUCUGUCUUCCCGUUGACCUUCUCCAGAUUGACCGCGGUCGCGGGACAACCACGGCAUGAUCGCGGUCAUUUUAAACCUUUCUGUCGUUUGCCUUCUUUUCGUUCCAGCCGCAGCCAUACCGUGGUCGCGAUAGACUGUUGGCCAUUGUUUCUUCACCUUUUCUUGCUCAUUUUCAUACGGGCUCUUCUCAAUUGGACUUGUAACUACAUAUUUGACCCCAAAACACUUUAUAUCCUCCUCCUAACUCGCAGUAGUUCCUGCAGAGUAUAAAAACUCAAUUGGAGCAUUUUGUUAUCAUUUAGCACUUAAAACAUCAAUAAAGUAAGGAUACCUUAAAGCAUAAAUAGCAUCUACAUCGCAUAAUAUAAGCUACUAUCACUAGUAUAUCUUUAAAUAUUAGGUGGCGACUCUCUUUUAUCAACAACAAAGAAACGACAAGUUGAAUCUUGUUUUGACUAGUGCAAAAUAGGGUGCAACAAUUUGUUUAUUAGUUAGUUAGAUCUCCUAAAAGUUAAUUUAGAUAACAUUUAGUUACUUUCAUUUGGAAGUUAAAUAAAGUUAUUUAGAUUUCUUUUCUUGAGUGUUUACUUCACCAACAUACAUUCCCUAUGAAUUCGACCCCUGACUCGUGUUGGGAUUUAUAAUUGCAAUGAACAUUUCAUACUCUUUAAUUAUAUGUGUUGGACGUGAUUCAUUUUUGGCGCCGUUAUCGAAAAGUUUACGAUGUUACGUAUAUCUUUGAGUUUGUUUCUUGAAAUAUAUAUUUUUAGUUUUAUGAUUCUAAUAUAUUGAAGUGAUUGUAGGAUUCAAAUGGCGAACAACGAUCUUAGAAACUUUCCAUUAGGAAAGGUGGAUGGCGAAGAGAAUCAACUUGAUGAAAUACCUCAAGCUCCAAAAUAAAAUCACCUAGAUCGUACCUCCACCACCACCACAACCACAAGCAGCGCAACAUCAAAUUUUGC
rnacentral:lncRNA from 1 species